GACGAACGCUGGCGGCGUGCUUAACACAUGCAAGUCGAGCGGUAAGGCCCUUUCGGGGGUACGACGAGCGGCGAACGGGUGAGUAACACGUGGGUGACCUGCCCUCAGCUCUGGGAGUAAGCCCGGGGAACUGGGUCUAAUACUGGAUAUGACUCCACGGUGCAUGCCGUGGGGUGGAAAGCCUUGUGCGGCUGAGGAUGGGCCCGCGGCCUAUCAGCUUGUUGGUGGGGUGANGGCCUACCAAGGCGACGACGGGUAGCCGGCCUGAGAGGGCGACCGGCC
rnacentral:rRNA from 1 species